ensembl:lncRNA
CUGACAGAAACUGGUUGUGAAAAAUUUAUUAAAUCUUUUACAGUUAGAAGCAGCAGUAGAACUUCUGGAACAUGGAGCCCUGCAACACAAACAGUCAGCUGGUAGCAGAUCCAAAGAACAAAUCCUGAGAGCUCAGAGACCCACCUCCAACAUGUUCAGUAUGCUUUGACUGGAACUUGGUCGCCCUUUGGAGGCAGGUCACGGCUCGGCUUUAGAUCUACUCACAAUCACAAUGAGGUGAGUCACUGAAGCAGGAGGCUGAGAUCAGAAUCUGAAGAGACUAAAUGCUGUUUUAAUUUUAAAUGGCUUGUUUUUUUGUUUUUUUUUUUGUUUUUGUUUUAUAAAGAGUUUUUAUGUUUUGUUGAACUCCAGAUAAUCAUUGUUUCAAAAAUGGGUUCCUGGAAAAUGGUUUAACAGUUCAUCUUCAGUUUAAAUGUAUAGACCAUUGGUACAAUCAGGCUGUUGUGGAUUUCCUGUCUGCUGGUUGGAAGCAUCACCUGUCUGCCUGUACAAGAUUCUGGACUAGCAGCAGGCAGAGAACCAAACCCCAGAGGUUAUUAUCCGGGACCCUGGGUCAGCGGACCAACAAGUCCUGACCCGACCGUCCCCACUACAACCACCAAACCCGACCAGCAGCUCAAGUAUGUCUAUGGCGGCUAUCCAGGCGUCUAUGGCGGUUAUCCAGGCGUCUACAGCUACCAGAGCACUGACCAGACCUCUGACCAGACCCCUGAUGGGCCCUUCUUCACUGAUGUGUCCGAUCUGGAUCCAGUCUACAACUUCCACUCUCGGUCCCGCUACAGGAGAGGAAGAGCCCAUUUCUCUCAGACCCGCUACGUCCCCACUGACUCUCUGUACAGUCCAGUGUUCAGCUACCCAGGCUACCUGCCUCCACAGGGCUACCUUCCUCCAAAGGGUGACCAAGUUCAAGUCAAAGCCUACUGAACAUGUUGGAGGUGGGGCUCUGAGCUCAUGAAUUGUUCUAUGGAUUUGCUGCCACCUGACUGUUGCAGGUCUCCAUGUUCUAGAAGUUCUACUGCUGCUUCUAACUGUACAAGAUUUAAUAAAUGAUUUUCAGAACUAGCCUUUGUCUCAGUCUUCAUCACUUGAUCCUGAACAUGUCUGACAGCUGUGCUAAAUGAAGGCUUCUUACAGGCAGCAUUGCAUGACUAUUAGCUUUAGUCUUCAAGCAUUUAAAAGCUGCAUCUUGUCUCUGAAGGUCCCGGUAGUGAUUUAGGGAGAAGAACUGGAUCUAAACAUCUCUGUUGGGCCUGCUUCACAUUACAGCCUGCGUGUUUGAGAUUAUUUCUGCUGCUUUUUUUUUUUUUUUUUUUUUUAAAAACCUGAGGUCAAAGUUUUUCCCCAGCUUGUAUGCUUUGAAACCUGUUUGCUUAUGUAAUGUACUUCGAACAUGCCAUCAGCACUUGGUAAGGUGAAGGCCAUUCCAAAUUUGACUGGAAAGAACCCAAACUUCACUGACGCAGCCAUCUGCCUCAACUGUUAUG